rnacentral:lncRNA from 1 species
GUAACAAGUAUCUAACAGACUUUAGUGUCCUAAUACUAAUAUUUAAUGAGAUCAAAUAUUUUACUGUAAAUAAUAUGUUGUGCAUUAAUCUACCUGAUUAUAGGUGUCAAAGUCACAUUAAUUAUUUAAAUUUGAUAUUCGUAAACGUUGUUUGAGUUUCAUAAUUAUAAUGUCAUUAUAAUAGUAUUUGUUUGAGUUUAACGGACGUUUAUAAUCUAAUGUUUGCAAAAAUAUAGUAAAAUAUACUAACUUGCUUUUACAGAUAAAAUAGAUCAUGAUAACAUCUUUUGAAAGAAACUUUCAUAAUAAUAUCCUUGAUAUAUCUCACAUAAUUGAUUAUUGGACACAUUAUUACCGAAAAAAAAAUGGAUAACAUGAAUUAAAUUGGGGGUAUGAGUUUGAUAACUUGCUUUUAUUGAUAUAACAAUCAUUAUAAUAUCUUUUGAAAAGAAACUAUUAUAAUAAUUCUCUUGAGACAUCUCAUGUAAUUGAUUAUUGGACACAUUAUUACCAACAAAAAAAUGGAUAACAUGUAUUAGAGUUGCGGGCAUGAAUUCUAAGAUGGAUUAAGAGCAAAUCACUUGAGAUUGUCGUCGCUAUCAAGGACAAAGAAUCUUCAAAAUGAAAUAAGAGAGAACUAUAAAAAGGAACAAGAAGUUUCAAGCUACUAGGAGAGCUAGAGCUAAAAAGUGUAAAAGGAUGAAUGAGAGAUAAGAAAUGUCACAAGGAAGUCCCAGUUGAAGUGAAAAUCAGUAAGAUUAGGAGAAAGAUUGGUUGUGCCAAGGUCAAAACAAGAAAGAUGCAUAAAGGGGCAAGAAAAACUAAAGAAUGUGAUGAAGAAAAUAACUAGAUCAUGAGAAAAAAUUAGGCAAAAGACUUGAGUAGUCAAGCAUGACAAGAUCAAAGUGAUUGUCAAUUAGAAGAAAAAAGAUGAGAAAUGCCAAAGGAAAGAUGUUUAGAAAUCUAAAAGGGACAUGAAGUCGAGAUUGUUGAAGAUAACAAUCACCAAUAUUUCUUGGAGGUGGAAAAACACUCUUGGAGAAUCCAAGGCAAGAUGAUGAAGAAAGGAAAGAAAUUACUUGCUACUAAACUAUGAACAAGAAUUGUAAACGUCAAACAUAAGGAAGGUUGGAAAUGCUAAUCAUAAGAUAAACAACUGUGAAACGAAAUAUAUGAUUUAGAGCAAUUCAAAUUCAUACAAAAGUCCAUUGAAGACCAUGCGAUAACCAUGAUUUAGUUUCUAUUUAACCCUUCACCUUUAACUGUGCUUUAGAGUCCAGAAUAGUCCAUGUUCUCUCAUUUAUUUUGCUUAGGGAUAGCAAAUGACACAUCAUCAUUUUUUUUGUUUAAAAAACAGUGAAGCCAUCCAACGUAAAAAUCAAAUAGUACAUGAAAAAAGCACAAAAUAGUCUGAACUUCAUUUCCACACUACAAGCAACACAUUAGUUUUCUACUUUAAGCAACACUAAAACAGUUUCUAAUAUGAAGUCGAAAACAUUAAGUGCAAAAGCCAAGAACGGUUACUAUUUUCCCCAUUUAUUUCAUUCCAAAAAACAUUAUUUUCUGAUUUAAACAGCACAAGAAAGUCCUCAUUGUUUACAUCAGAAUUGUUAACUUAAAACAGUCCAUGUGUUCUCAUUUAUUCUAUUUUCCAAAUAGCAAGUAGUAGACCAAUUUCUGGUUCAACUAAUACCAUACAGCCCUAAAUGCGAUGACUAAACAGUAGGUACAAAAGCCUAAAGUAGUUCCAUUUAUUUCUUUCCUACAAAACAAGUUACACAUUUGCUUUCUAUCUUAAACAACACCAAACAUAUUGCACUAGGAGGUAGAUUCCUAAGCUGAAAACAGUAUGUAAUUAUAGACCUACUAGGGAAAAAAGUUUCAAAAAACAAGCUGCAGAAAAACUCAUGUGAAUUACAUCCAAAGCAAUAAGACAAACCCAGAGAUAAAACAUAUCAAAUUCAAAACAUCAAAACAGUUUAGUGGCUUCAAGGGAAUGGUUAGAACUGGCCAUAAAGCCAAAAUAUAUUUAAAACAUGAGGAUAAACACAAACGCAAACUUGAAACAUUUACAGUUGAAGGAGGAAACAAUUUGAGGUAUAAGGAACUUUAAAUAAUUUAAAAGGAAACACAACCAAAUUGGAAGAAUAUUGUAAAGCCACCAGAAAUGUCAAAACCAGAAAAUAGGUUGCAAAUGCUUUAAGAAAACUAUAACAUGAUUUCGAAAACAAGAUAAAUGCUAGCUAAUUUAAGGACUUAAUACCUCUUUACAAAGAGUUUUAGAAGCAAAACUGAUGAGCAAAACAAAAACAAGCACGACAGACCUAGGGUUCCAGAACAGACUUGGGUGACCCUGCAAGUGGUCCAUCUCAAACUUAAUUACUGCCUGGAAAAUAAAUUAAGAAACUAAAAAAAACUAAUUGGAAAAUGUUCCAAAAAAUAUAUCAAAUUUUAAAUAGAAAAGAUACUACAAAUUUGAAAGAAGAAUUUAGAUAAAAGAUGAAAGAUUGUACUUCAACCAUCUUUAGACUCUAUGCUGGAUAAUUGGCAAGAAUGACCAUGUCCUAGGUUGAGCCUCAAAAUCACAAACCUCGACGCGAAAAAUAGGUAUGGAUAUGUGAAAUGGGGCUCAAAGAAAGAAAUAAUUGUAAUAGAAUUAGGCACUUAGUAAUAUCCUAAAUAAAAUCUUUCAAUUAUCCUGAAGAAAACCACAUCAUGCAUCUGAUUCUAAGAAACUCUCACUACUUUUAAUACAUAACUAAAUCAUCCUUUGGAAAAUGCAUAUGCUGGAAUUGUGAAGUUAACGGGCAAAAUGAGGCCUUGCCAUAGCCAUCAUUGGUCCCUUCGUUAGGCUGUUAACAAAAAUGAAGGAUCCCAAGCUAGGUGGUCCAUUUAGGAUUCCCUCAAGCCCAUGAUUUAAACCAACAAUCACGAGAUCAACUGAAACCUAAGUAUUAACAGUUUGAUACACCAAAUCAACAUCUCCAUUAUAUUCAUCAUUCAAAUAUGAAUAUUAAACUCAUUGAGAUCAUGAACACAUUCACUCGGAGCUUGUUUUUGUAUCAAAGAAAAAAAAACAGGCUAUUAGCAACAAAAUACAGCCAUAGAAUUUCACUCAAGAUCGUUUCAUUCCCCAUAUGCAUUAAAGAAGAGAUACACAAUCCUAGCGUUCUUUCUCUAACAUUGAAAAACAAUACAAUGAAGCUUACAGGAAAUUAAUCAUAGGGUUUUGCAGAAACUUAACCAAAUGGACUCAGAUUGUAAUCCUUGAGGCAUCCUCCCCCUCUCUCCUCAGCCUUGAACACCUUUGGUUAACGUCCUCUGCUUCCCUGGAGACAUGCUCACUUAGUAGCAACAAGAGCUUUGAGCUACAAGACUUUCCUCCUCCAAGUAAAGAUUUCAUCCUUUUCUUCUCUCACCUCCACUUUCCUCACGCAGCUUCAGCUUCCCACAUUAUCUGUGCUCCGUUAUCUUUUCUCCUAUGCUUUCAAGCCCCUGCAACCUCGAAGAAAACUCGCCAUUUCAACCUUCUGAUGUCUUCCCAUUUAGGUGAAAGCCCCAACACGUAACGAUGCUCCUCUUUCUGCUUCUAUCUUUUCUUCUUCGAUAAAAACGCAUCCUGAAACUGGGUCCUGUAUCUUUGUUCAUUUCAUUCUUGACUUGUCAACAUCGUCAUUUGCUCCUCUUCCAUUUUGUGUAAAACCGAGCCCUAGGCUUCCCUCUUUACGACUGCAUUGAAGGAGAAGAAAGGAACCAAAAGGCUCAAAACGAUGCAUUUGAAGGUUGGGCAGGCCUUUCCCAUUUUUCUUCUUCAUUUCUUUUUCUUUUU